rnacentral:lncRNA from 1 species
UUCAGAACAACUCGGGUUCCCACCCAGGUCCUGCCACCCCAGAACGGCGUGCACAGGCCACUGCUCUGAGCCUGUCUCUUCACCUGCAAAGUGGGGGUGGUGACAACUCCCUCCUUCUUGCUGAGAAGAUUUAAUGCCAUGAAGUCUGCACCGUGCUCACCUGCUACCACCGAGACAGGUACACAGCAGGCAGUGAAGGAUGGUGACUUGUUGUUUUCCAGACUCUUAUUUUUAGAAAACUUUCUCAUGCAUGCACUGCUUAACAUCAAAACAAUUUCUCAACCAAUGACUCACUGAAUUCCUUAACACCCCCAACCCACUCCACCCCACGAGGAAGCCGGCUGAGACCCUGAAGCCCACAGAGGGAGGAUGGCGUGCCCCCAGAGGCCCACCUGUUGGGGACAGAUCAAAGAUUGGAACCCCAGCUGAAGGGGCCUUUCGUUCAAAGUCUGCUUUAUAGAUUAGCUCUCCAAGUGACAGGGGAAUCUAGAAAAUAGGUCAUCUCUGGGCUUCGAGGUCCAGACUAGACACCAUGCCUGGGUACAGCACGUUGUGAUAAUCAUCAUUAUUUACAGUCAUAAUAAUAAUAGAAGCUCCUAUUGGGUGCCACUUCCUAUGGCAGUUCCCCCGUCUGUAAAAUGCAGAUGAUAGUGGUAAGUUCACAUUGUGGGAUUGUUGGUGAGGAGGGGUUAAUAUUUGUAAAGCCUGUAGAACAGGGCUCGGCAUACAGCAAACAUUACGUCAUUGAGAACAUUGAAAAUACAGAAGUGUCGUCUGCUAAAGGCUUAAGAUCGCCUCACGUUCUCCUCAGGACACGCCCACAGGAGGCUACCAUUACGUCCAUUUUGCAGGUGGGGAAACUGAGAGCUCAGGGAUGCAUGGGGAGGGCAGGCAUGUUACUCUCCCAAGGACGGGGAGGGCGAGCUCUGAGCGCAUGCAAGUGGGGAGUGCAACCCAGGGCCAUCUGCCUCCAGAUCUAUGGGGCUCCCAUCUGUCCCUCCUCCACUUCUGCAGGUCCCCAGGGGGGAGGCAGGAUGCAGCACGCUCUGGGGAAGGUAUUUCCAGAGGGUGACCUGAGCCCUGGGCCAGGCAGAGGGUUAUUAAUAGUGCCCUGGCUGGGGAGGAUGGCUCCGGGGAAGGGAGUGGGAGGGCGGAGCUGAGCCAGCGUGGGGAGGAGAGACUGCCCAGAGAGGCUGGCUGAACUUGGCUGCCAGGGCCCCUCCCAGCCCCCUGGAGCACAGCUGUUCCCUCAGCGGAUUCUCUGGGGCUGGUUCAUCACCUCGGAAUACUCCUGUGACAGGAGCCACUUGCAAAACCCGCCUCCAGCCCCCAGCAGCAAUAAAUAGAAAGCUCCCAGCCCAGGAGAAGCGAGAAGUUUCUAGGCCUGCCUCCCUGGGUUUAUUAAGCUCCUGGCUCCUCUUUAGACCUCAGCGGCUCUGGCUGCCAGCCUGUGUGGCCUGCGAGGACAGAGACUGGCUGAUCCCUGGUGAGGCAGUACGGAUAAGGGCCCUCUGGGAUUCUGCUGGAUCAGCGGGGGGUCGCCUUUGGUGGCUGGAGUGUCUCUGGGGCCCAGGACCCCAGCCUGGUGUGUGCCUCCGUCCCUGGCAGUGGAUGGUUCAGCAUUUUCUGAAGCUGAAGAAUAAGUUUGGAAGACCAGCCCACCCACAUCAGCUUGCUGUGUGACCUUGGGCAGGUGGCUGUGGUUCUCUGAGCCUCCACUUCCCCUCCAGCUCAGCGGCCACCAUGGCUGAUGGUCAGAUGCCCUUCCCCUACACGGGCCGCCUGCGCCGGGACCCCUUCCGAGACUCGCCCCUCUCCUCCCGCCUGCUGGAUGAUGGCUUUGGCAUGGACCCCUUCCACGACAAUUUGACUGCCUCUUGGCAUGACUGGGGCCUGCCUCCAUUCUCCUCGGCCUGGCCGGGGACCCUGAGGUCGGGCAUGGUGCCCCGGGGGCCCACCGCCACGGCCAGGUUUGGGGUACCUGCUGAGGGCAGGACCCCCCCACCGUUCCCUGGGGAGCCCUGGAAAGUGUGUGUCAACGUGCACAGCUUCAAGCCGGAGGAGCUGAUGGUGAAGACCAAGGACGGAUACGUGGAGGUGUCUGGUGAGUAGGGGGCCGAGAAAAAGGAGAGAGAACCCGGGGAGGGAGGCAUAGACAUCAGCCCUGGAAACAGCCAAGAGGACAGUUCCUUACGGGGAAGCUGUGACAGUAUGACACAGGUGACUUCAGGGCUCAGGAAUGCAGCCCACAGGAGUUAUCUUUAUGGAAAAGCACUCCUCUCCUGGCUUCCAGGGGAAAUCUUAACCUGACCCGGCUGCUGGGGCCUUCGGGUGCUGUAUCAAUCAGAGUCCAGGCAGGAAAAGGUAAACAGCGUCAGAUAUUUUGACAGAGGGCGUUGAAUGUAAAGAAUGAGUUAAACAGAGAAGGAAUCAAAGACAAGGAAGAGAUGGGCUCCCUUGCACCCCGGCAUCACAACAGUCUCGAAGGGCAUGUUUCACGCUGGACCAUCAUAGUGUUGAUAACCAGCGCAGCUUUCAAGAGAAACGCCUCCCUUUGUCAGGGGAGGAAACUGAGGCAUAGUGGUCAUUAUAACGAUACUAAUUGAUAACCUUGAUUGAGUGCCUACUGUCUGCUAGAGACCACGCUAGGUGCCUUCCCCGCAGCAUCUCAGUCAAUACAACCAGAGGAGAUGGGUCCUGUCUGUCUCUUCUUUUUACAGUUGAGGAAACUGAGGCACAGAGAUGUUAAAGUAACUCCCUCAAGGCCACCACGGAUUCAAACCCAGGCUGUCUGGGAAUCGGGAGGCCAGAGGCAAAUGGAUAAUGUAUUGAGCACCCUAGGUGCCAAGGGCUGGGCUAAAAGUCUUAUUUCUUCUCUCAAGCAAUCCUCACUCCAGCCGCGAGGAGCAGAGGUGUCUAGUGUCCCAUUUUGCAGUUGAGGAGGCUGAGGCCCAGGCGGGACUCGUCCAAGGUCACGGUGUGAGUCAGCAGCAGCAAGAGUCUGGGCCUACCCAUGACUCCGGGCCCACGGCUCCUGCCACCACAUCCCAGCCUGGGAGAGGGAAUGCUCCGGGAAAGAAAAAACAGGAGCUGGGGGCUCCCUCCCUCCCUCUAAGCAGGGCGGCAGAGGAAAAGCUUUCUCUCCGCUUCCCUCCCAAUUAACACUCCAUUAGAGAGAGCAUGUUCCUUGCAGGCUCCGCCAGCCAGAAAAUCAAUAAAGGCCACGCAGACACAGGCUGGCAGGACAAGCCCUGGCAGGCAGCGGGCAGGGGUAGGUUCAAAGCCUCGCAGGGCAGAAUUGUAAACAUCAGAGGCUCCGGAGGGUGUGGUGGGCCAGGAGACACGCUGGGGCCACGUGCUGACGGAGGAGGUCAGCCAGGGCUCCCCGAGCCAGGCAGGAGUUCUGCAACCAGAUCCGCCACUCACCAGCAGGCUGUGCACAUUGCAUAACUUCUCUGUGCUUUGUUUCCUUAUCUGAAAAUGGGAUUCAAAGAGUGACACCACAUAAGGAUUCUUGUAUUAAAUGAGGUGAUGUGUGUAAAACGUAUACAUAGUGCCCAGAACACAAGGGAUCAGGACUGUAAUUGUGGGGGAUGUUGUUGUUGUUAAAAUGCCAGGCACAUGGUAGAGGACCAAUCAAUCAUAAAUGGUAGAUGCUCUUUGAGACCAGGGUUUGAAUCCCAGCACCGCUGAUCAUGCUCUAGAUGGAUAUGGACAAGAAAGUCUUCCCACGGCUCCCAGACUCAGUUUCCUCGUCUGUGUCAUGGGGAUCAUAAUAAUCUCUUUCCUGCAAAGCUGUAGGGAAGGUUAAAUACACUCAGACAAUAUAUGAUAAUAAAUGCAGAGUGUCUGUAAUGGCUCCUAACAGGGCCUGCCUGGCGCUCAGUAAACAAGGUGAUUAUUAUCACCAGUCCUGCUGUCUUUGUUUUAAUUAGGGUUCCAGAAUCUUCCACCCUAGAUUGGAGGAUUGCUCAUGCCCCACGGCCUCCUCCAGAAGACCUCUGUUCAACCUGGAGGGUUUUUCUCCAUCCUCCUUUCUAGGUGCUUCUUCACAGGUGAGGCCUGGCAGCUCCAGGCUGAGAUCCUGGCGAAGCACCUUACCAAUCCAGGGGCUUUGAGUGAGCGAUGGAGCCUCAGUCCCCACGUCUGUAAAAUGGGCUGGUCGGGGCUUAAAUAAGACAAAGACAGACGAAGCCUUUUUAGGCUGUAAAACCCUCACAGGGUGCACUUAGCAGCCGCAGCGUGACACGAUCCCAAUCCCCUGAGAUUGCACACGGAAACUAUCAUAACAGAGGUUUCAGAAGUCAGAUUGAUAUCAGGCUCUAUUUAAAAAGCCACUUUCAAGGGGCCGGCAGAAGUCAGAUCGGGUCUCCCAGCCUCCAUCCCAUGAUGACAGACCUAUUCCUCCUCAAGCACUUUGUGUGGGGCACUAUGCUAAAUGCUGCCAUGUGUUGGCCCCCUGGUCCUUCCCAUGGACUUCCCGGGAAAGACGGAUAGGUUUGUUCCAUGCAUACUACAGAACAGGAAACAGAAGGCCAGACAGAGUAACUCACCUGAGACCACCGGCUUCUCCACGGUAAUGUCUGAAACUCAAAGCCGGGCCUGCUUAGACAGUUCCAAGUCAGGAUGGCUCAAUCUGCUUCUGAUUGCGUGGCCUUGGGCAAGUCCUACCACCUCUUGUUGUUCUUAUGAGGAGGUGGACUAGAUCAGUAUUUGCCAAAUGGAGUGCUUUAAGAUGUCACUAGGCAUCUGAGAAACAGAGGGAGGGGCAUCCAGAAUUUUAGAAAGUUCCGGAUGCAACUAAAUUAUAAACAGGUCUCCUCACUGCUGGACUUAUCAGAGCCUUGAAUCCACCAAUGGAGUUGAUGGAUCUCUGAGAGAUGGUCCUCUCUUAUCUGACCACAUGUGAGUGUCUAGUCCCAGGGAAGUGUUUGGAAAAUGCUGGACUAGAAGAGUUCCAUCAUGCCUCACACACCCCACCCCCAACAUGCAGACACUAGCCAAGAAAUGUUCCCUUCAUGGGCCACUGGGCCAGGCCCUGGCCAAGGAAGGGACUGGAAAGCCCCAAGGCCUUAUUCCUGCCCCUUCUUAAUCCCAGGGCCUGUGCCUCCCCUGGAAACAGCACUGUCUUUCUUUAGCUGGGCCAAUGGACUUCCCCCAACUCCUGCUUCCUGCCUCUUGGCGCCGACAUUUCUCUGAGGCACGUGGAGAACAUGGUGGCUGCAAGGGGCCUCUGACUUCCUCCGGCCUCCAGAUGAGUUCUUGAAGAAAAAAAUUAUAAUAAUUACUUUUUUCUGUUUACAAAAAUAAAGUAUUUCCACAGUAGAAAAUGUACAUAGGAAACCAAAAUAAGAAGCAAAAAAGCACUCAUAAUCCUUAAGCUGCCCCAAUAAAUAGAUAUUCAAAUAAUAUGUAAAUUAAAUUCAAGACAGGCCUCCUAGCAACAUCCUCUUACAACCAGGUUAACCCCCUCCCCUCCCUGACCCCAAAACCCUGUUUCCAGAGCCCGGACAGGGAGAGCUAGCUUGUGAAGAGCACUCCUUUCUCCAAACGUCAAAAUAAACCACAAGCAUUCACCUUCACACAGUUUUUUGACCAUUUACACAGCAAUUCUGUGACUCAUUCUCAUUUGCUCCUCACAAUAACCCAAGCCUUGUCACCCCCACCUUAGAGAAGAAUAGACUGAAGCUCCAAGAACAGAGAUGCUGGGAAAUGUCAGAGCACAGACUCAAACCCAUCUACCUCCUUUUGAAUCUGCACUCCAUCACUUCCGAGCUGUGUGACCUUCAGCACAUCACCUCACCUCUCUGAACUUUCAUUCCCCAUCCACAAAACGGUGAUGGUAAAAGUACCUGCCUUCUAAGGCUGUUGGGAAAAUUAAAGGCGCUGAGAACAGUGGCUGACACCAAGCAAACACGAGGAGAAGCAGCAAGAAGGCGGCAUUGUUUCCAAGAACUUCACAAAGAAAAUCCAGCUUCCUGCAGAGGUGGAUCCUGUGACAGUAUUUGCCUCGCUUUCCCCAGAGGGCCUGCUGAUCAUCGAAGCUCCCCAGGUCCCCCCUUACUCACCAUUUGGAGAAAGCAGUUUCAACAACGAGCUUCCCCAAGACAGCCAGGAAGUCACCUGUACCUGAGACCCCAGUCAUGGCCCAUCCUUGUUCCCUCCCCAACCCCAGGGCUUCUCUGAUUCCAGGGUACAUUACUGUAGCUGAACUCAUAGAUUUAGCGCAACUAAGAUGUUGGGGGUGGGAGUGGAUGGACCACAGAGUCCCUGGAUAGUGUAGUAGUAGGUUUUUCCACAAGAGGGCGCAAUUGGCGAGUCAUGCUCAGUUGCGCAAAAUGCUGGGAGUUUUUUUUUUUUUUCUUUACCUUUUCUGUCUUGAUGAAAAUGUUGCACAUUCUAAAGUUGCCAAACCAAUAUAAUGGGACAUAACAUUUCACAUUGCAUCUUACCUUGCAGCUGAUGCAAGGGUUGCUUUUCUCUGGGGACCUCCCCAUCACCCAGAUUCCUAUUCUGGGCUCUCAAUUUCCCUGCCUGCCCUGUGGUUUGGGUGAAGGAGCCCAUUAGCUCACUCCAUUGUGUUUCUGCAGCCCUGGCCUAAGAAGGGUUAUAGAGAGGUCUUACAUCCCCAUAUGGGAUUUAUCCAACAGCCACAUGAAAAUAAACAGUGCCUUCUGCCCUCCACCCAGGCAUUUACAGCAUGUUCCCAAGCUGGCACUCCCCGGGGACUCUGGAAGCCCCUCAGUUUAUUCUCUGGCUAAAGCCCCCCCUUUCUUGUGUCUCCUAUGUCCAAGUUGGGACUUUUAGAGAGGGCUGUCUCCAGACAGCUCCAGCUGGAACCAAGCAAAGGCCAGACAGCCUGGCAGGCAGGCUAGUGGUAUUGUCUAUAUGGGUGGGACGUGUGUGUCAUUGUUAUUUGAAUUGUGCUGUUGUUUAGGGGAAAAUAACAGUAAAUGAUAAUAAUAAUAAAGGAGCUGAUGUUCUUAGCCUGGUGUGCUUCUUUUGAUGAGGGGCUAAAUGCUAUACCACUUAGAUAUGCAAUGUCAGUUAGGAAUGCUUGUGGCUACAAAUUAUAAUGCCCAAUGAGUAGUGGCUUAAAUGACACAAACAUCUAACUUUAUAAGAAGUUCAGGUAUGAGUGAUUUCAGAGUUACUUUUUCAGAAGGUACGUCACCAAGAAUCCAGAGUAUUUCCAUCUUUUUCCUCUGCCAUCUCUAAAAAGUCCACUAGGUCUAUCCUCGCAUUUGUAAGAUGGCUGCAGCAGCCCCAGGCAUCUCAUCCUCGGGUGACAAGGUACAGGAAGAGAAGGCAAGGAUAAAAAAAAAAGCCUUCUCAUCUGGCCUCCUCUUUUAUCAGCACUCAAGAUCUUUUCCAGAAGCUCUCUCUCAGCAGAUUUCUUCUUUUAUUUCAUUGACCCAACUUGGGUCACACGCCUAGCCUGAAGCCAGUCCCUGGCAAAGUGAAAGUGAUGGCCAUAAUGGGCUUAGAUCCAGAUUGAUUUGUCCUCUGAGGCCAGGAACAUUGCUGUGUGAAAAAGCAAGGUUCUGUUAAGAAGGACAGGGGUGUAGCAGCUGUGAGCGCCAUCAACAGUGUAACGGCGGCUGCAGGCUGACGCUGCCAGGAGCGCAGAACCUGGAACACAGGGUGGCAGGGAGCAAGGCUGCUGGCAUAGUGCACCAGUUGGGACUGUUUCUGGGGUAAGGGUGAAGAAACUCAACUCAAACUGAUGGACGCGAGAAGGGGUAUUUAUUGGUAUACAUAGCUGAGAAGUCCAGGAUAAAACCCGCUUUCAGGGCUCCAGUGAUGUCAACAGAACUCAGUUUCUCUCUCUCUCUUGGUCCUGCAGAGUCGGCUUCACUCCCAGUCUCCCUGUUGCCUCCCGGCCCUCCCCGUCCCCAGCCCUCCAUGCCCCCGUGUCCUCCCUCUGUGGUCGUGAGACGGCUACAGUCACUAUUCCCUCUCACAUUCCACUCCCCAGGGAGAAAAGCCAUCUUUUCCUAUAGUUUCUGCCCUAUCCCUGAGAGUCAUUCUUAUUGGAUGGGCUUCCGUCACAUGACCAUCCUGAGCUAAGCAGGGACCACGAAAUCAGAGCUUUGAUUGGCCAGGCCUGGGUCACAUGCUCUAUCCCUGGAGCCAAUCCCAAUGAAUCCCCACAACACCCGGAAGUAGAUGUUCGUUUUAUAAGGAAGAAGCUGAAGCUAAGUGGUUUGGGUAGGUCACGUGGUGACAGCAGAACUCAAACCCGGAUGUUUGCUUUUGGAAGGGUUAAUGAGGAGCUGCUGGGCUGGUUUUCAAGAGCACCUCCAAACUCCAGAUGACCGGAGAAAUCACUAUUUCCUGAGCACCUACUCGGUCCAUCCUGUGCUAGGUGCCAAGGAUACAGAGACCAAUGAACCACAAUUCCUGCCCCAAGGAGCUCACAGACCAGUGACAGAGACAGGCAGAUAAAAGAAUGCCUGGCUCCCUUUAAAUCCUCACUGUGUGACAGACACCAUGCUAAGUGCUUUAUUAUAGUAGAUUUACUGACACUACAAUCCUAUGAGAUAGGUCCAGCUGUUACCUCCGUUUUACAGAUAGGGAAACUGAGGCAUGGAAAGGUUACGUGCACUGCCCCCAAAUCACACAUCUGGUAAGCCCCAGGCCCAGGACCUUCACUAGUACUCUUACCCUGUUCUGCCCUUCUCCCAACAAAAUAAAAUGUAAGCGUGCCCUAAGUGAGUCGUCCAGCUUGUAGGAAGAGCAGAGAGGUGAUAUUUCAAGUUGGGGCUUUGCAGGGAGGGUGGGAGUCAGAGGUGGCUUACAGAGUCACUCCUGUCGGACUUGAAGAUGGGCAGGUUGUAGGAUUUGAGCAAGCAGGGGUGGGGAUGGGGAGGUGCCUCACAGGCUGAAGAAAACACCUGAGCCAAGGAGAAAGGUAUGUUCCUUUGAAAAUGCUUUGAUGGUUCCCCAUUGUUCAAAGGAUCAAGUCCAAGCUUCUCUGCAAGACUUAGAAGGCGUUAUGGGAUCCAUCUGGUUACCUCUCUGCACCCCAGCCCCAAGCCCCUCCCCUCCCCUCCAGCCCCACCUAACUUCCGUCUCUUCUUCCAGCCAGCUCUCUCUUGCUACCAGAACCUUGAAUACACUGCUCUCUCUCUCCAAGGUUGACUGACCCACCCUCUGCACGGGCUAAUUUUUUUCUCCCAGUGGCUUAAGCAACAAGUUUCUUUCUUUCUUUCUUCUUUCUUAAAAUUAUUUUAUUGAGGUUGUGUUGGCUUAUAACAUUGUGUGAAUUUCAGGUGUACCUUAUUAUAUUUUGGCUUCUGUGUAGACUGAAUCAUGUUCACCACCAAAAAUCCAGUUUCUGUCUGUCAUACAUAUGUGCCCCUUUACCCCUUUCACCCUCCCUCCCACCCCUUCCUCUCUGAUAACCAUCAAUCUAUUCUCCUUAUCUAUGUGUUUGUUUACCUUCCACAUAUGAGUGAAAUCAUACAGUAUUUGUCUUUUUCCAUCUGAGUUAUUUCACUUAGCAUAAUACCCUCAAGGUCCAUCCAUGUUGUUGCAAAUGGCAUGAUUUUGUCUAUUUUAUGGCUGAGUAGUAUUCCAUUGUGUAUAUAUACCACAUCUUUUUUUCUCCAUUCAUUCGUUGAUGGGCACUUGGGUUGCUUCCAUGUCUAGGCUAUUGUGAAUAAUGCUGCAAUGAACAUAGGGGUGCGUAUAUCUUUUUGAAUUAUUGGUUUCAUAUUCUUUGGAUAAAUACCCAGUAGUGGAAUAGCUGGAUCAUAUGGUAUUUCUAUUUUGAAUUUUUUGUGAAAUCUCCAUGGUGUUUUCCAUAAUAGCUACACCAGUUUGCAUUGCCACCAGCAGUAUAGGAGGGCUCCCUCUUCUCUACAUCCUCGCCAACAUUUAUUUCUUAUCUUGUUAAUUAUAGUCUUCACUGGCUAAUUCUUUAGACUGCCCCUGGCCAGAGCCACUUCUUGCUUACCCCUGUCCCAACAAACACACCAUAUAACAGCUUUGGUGUUUGUGUAGCAGAAUAAAUAGUAAUAGCAAUCAUAAAAACCCAAACUACCCUAGCUGCUCUGCUUUCAAGGACAGGAUGGGGAAUCAUUCAAAUAAAGGAGAAAAUCCCUACUCAUUGGAUAUUUGUUCAACAAAUAUUUACCGGGCACUGACCAUGUUCAAGGCACUGUGCUGGGUGGCAGGUUACCAUUUCUCUCCACUUUGAGAGCCUGGAGAGAAAAGGAGGGAAGCGAGGCUAUUUCCAUGUUCUCCAGUUCUGGCUGAUGAAUGGUGAGACCCCGAGCGGGUAGAGUGGAAAGCUCACCUAUGAGGUGGUACCCAGGCCAAGGGCAUGAAGGACCACACAGAUUUGCCCAAGCAAGUGAGCAGGGUCUCUCAAGCAAGGGGGCCUGGUAAUGUGGUGGGGGCCUGGACUAUAGCGAGAGGUGACCAGUGAGGGAUGCCAGGUGGUGGCUGGACCUGGAACCUAAAAAUGCUGCACAAUAUUCAGUUUUUAAUUCUUUGCCUUGUGAUAUAAAAUGUGCCAAUCCAACCUUUAGGGAAGUCUUACAUACCCACAGAUGCUUUGUGUGGGUGGUCUUGGGGGCGGUGGUGGAUCAAGGUUGGGGACAAGCCAGAGCGAAGUGAAUGGUGAGGAGAAUUCUCCACAGGCAGCACCUGAAGUGAGAAGGGACUAUGGGAAUGGACCUCCUGAAACAUCGCUGAUCUCUUGGGCAGGGCACUGGAGAGGUGUGACUCAGUUUUAUUGAAAUAUCUCAAGAGCACGGCUUCACCAGAUACCUAGACUGUCCUCCUGGUGGACUGUAGGUCUCCUGAAAGCAGAGACCGCAUCCUGUUGGUUUCCGCUGUGUCUCUAAAUCCUAACACAGUGCCUGCUGCAUAGGAGGUAUUUCAUAUUCGCCAGAUGCAUGGGUGAAUGCCUUGAAUAAAUAAAAUCCAAACUCUUUUCCACCUCCUUCCAAGUCCUGCAUGAUCUGGCCCCUGUCACCUCCCAAAUUCAUGUCUCACAGCUCCCUCUCAUGUUCACUACACACAGGCCUCCUUCUGUCGCUCAAACACACUGUGCCCAUGCUCACCCCAGGGCCUUUGCACAUUCCAUUCCUUUGGUCAUGAACACUCUGCCCCAGCUCAUUGCCUGGCUGCCUCCUUCUUAUCACAAUUUCCCCAGAUGUCCCCUCCAACUCCACCUUUCCAGAGAGGCCUUACAAUAGCUGCCAUCCAAUCACUGACUAUUACAUACAUCACUGCUUUAUUUCCUCCAAAGCGAUUGCGUUUGCUUGGUUGCAAACACACCUCCACAUUAAAAUCUAAGCUGCCCUCCACACACCACAUACUUAGACACACCCUAGAAUGUCAACUCCGAAAGAGAAGGGAUGCUUUUGUGCCUUGUCCACUACUGCAUCUUUAAAGCUAAGUGCAAUAAGAAUGCAUUGAAUGAUUGGAUGAAUGAAUGAACGGUGAGUGGGGGUCACCCUGGGGAAUUAGGCCCUUUGGCAUUUGCAUGAUCUUAAGCCCCAGAGACCCGGCUCAUUUCAGUCCUGAGCAUUUCCAGCUUAAAGAUGCAAGACUUGUCAUCAGAAUAGAUGACUCGGCCCCUCCCUAGAGAUCUCAGAAUGACAACAGAAUAUUGUUCCUGAGCCUUCGCUUGGAUGAUGAUGCUGGGACAAGAGAUUCCCAGAACCUGCUUCCCCACCCCACUCCCUUGACCCAGCCCCCCAGAAAGUCUGAUCCCCAGCCCCCCUCCACCCACUUCCAACAGCCUGCCGGCCAGCGGCUGCUGAUGGUGAUCCACAGAGAUGACUUGAUAUGACCUUGAGGGAAGAAACAAAUUAAUGUGUCUUGAAAUAAAUUCCAGGAACCAGUGGCUGGCUUCUCCACACCUUCCUCUUGGCGCCUCAUGCGUCAUGCAUCAUAAUGUGAAAAUCAAUACUGUCUCCUAAAUGAGCCAACACCUGGAGCGGGCAGGGGGUGGGGCUGCUCAGAGAUCCCCUCCCACCCUAUGUCCUGGGCCUGGGAGUUGUUGGCAGGAGCGGGAGACUCUGGGCCUGCUGUGGGCUCUACUCUCUGGUGGCUGAGGGCUGGCUGAGUGCCCCUGUCUGCUGCGAGGUCAACCCACCUGACCCCCAGCUGCAAGGCUGUCCAGGGACAAGCAGAUGUGGGCUCCCUAGUGGCUCCUGAGGGAAAGGACAGGGCAGCCACAUGGAAGGGCAUUGCCGUGGCCAUUGUCCAAGGAUAACUGAGAUAUGGGGAGGGGAGGAGACUCCAAGCCCAGAUCCCCACUCCAGAAGUUCAGUGUAUAUUUGUCAGUGCAUUUCUUUGGAUUGGGCACCUAUUCAACUGCGUGUCCAGGUACGACAGUGCCAGGUGUCUAAAUGUUGAAAUACUUCAGUGCCCCUGGAUAAAUUGCACUACAGAGACUCUGAGGUGCCCCCAGUGUCCUAGCCCAUGUUAAGCAUGUCUUUAUUCUGAUGCUUUGACCACUUGGGGCCUUGCUAACCCUGGAGGGACUGCUCCUCCCAAGCUUGGCUAAUUCCUAGAGAUAGCAAAGGACUCACCUGUGAGCACACCUUUCAUAUGAAAAGCCACCCAUCCAGAACCCACAGCCCGACCACCUCCUUUAUCAACGCUUAUACUCGGAGACACUAUCCACUUGCCCUAAUCAUCCAAGGACGGGUACCAGAAACCUCGAGACAGCCCCUGGGCCACAGAGCCAGCUGAAACUAUGCAAACUAGCCUGUCCUAAGCCUGCUCACCCAGCCCCACCUGUUCCUUCCUGCAGAAACCACAAUAAAGGCUCUCACCCACGUUUUUUCCACCCCACCCCACCCUACCCGAGUUCCCUCUGCCUCCAACCGAC